rnacentral:rRNA from 1 species
GACGAACGCUGGCGGCGUGCUUAACACAUGCAAGUCGAACGGAAAGGCCCUGCUUUUGUGGGGUGCUCGAGUGGCGAACGGGUGAGUAACACGUGAGUAACCUGCCCUUGACUUUGGGAUAACUUCAGGAAACUGGGGCUAAUACCGGAUAGGAGCUCCUGCUGCAUGGUGGGGGUUGGAAAGUUUCGGCGGGUGGGGAUGGACUCGCGGCUUAUCAGCUUGUUGGUGGGGUAGUGGCUUACCAAGGCUUUGACGGGUAGCCGGCCUGAGAGGGUGACCGGCCACAAUGGGCCUGAGAGACGGCCCAGACUCCUACGGGAGGCAGCAGUGGGGAAUAUUGCACAAUGGGCGGAAGCCUGAUGCAGCAACGCCGCGUUCGGGAUGACGGCCUUCGGGUUGUAAACCGCUUUCGCCUGUGACGAAGCGUGAGUGACGGUAAUGGGUAAAGAAGCACCGGCUAACUACGUG